GACGAACGCUGGCGGCAUGCCUAACACAUGCCAGUCGAACGGAGAUUAUUUCGGUAAUCUUAGUGGCGAACGGGUGAGUAACGCGUGGGCAACCUGCCCUCUAGAUGGGGACAACAUCCCGAAAGGGGUGCUAAUACCGAAUGUGACAGCAAUCUCGCAUGAGGAUGCUGUGAAAGAUGGCCUCUAUUUAUAAGCUAUCGCUAGAGGAUGGGCCUGCGUCUGAUUAGCUAGUUGGUGGGGUAACGGCCUACCAAGGCGAUGAUCAGUAGCCGGUCUGAGAGGAGGAACGGCCACAUUGGGACUGAGACACGGCCCAGACUCCUACGGGAGGCAGCAGUGGGGAAUCUUCCGCAAUGGGCGAAAGCCUGACGGAGCAAUGCCGCGUGAGUGAUGAAGGAAUUCGUUCCGUAAAGCUCUUUUGUUUAUGACGAAUGUGCAGAUUGUGAACAAUGAUCUGUAAUGACGGUAGUAAACGAAUAAGCCACGGCUAACUACGUG
rnacentral:rRNA from 1 species